ensembl:lncRNA
ACUCCUCCCUUGUCCGCCAAAAGCCAAUUAAGAGCCUGUCUGUUUUGCCAUGUCAUUCUACUUGUUGCGUGUACUUGGUCUCCUAACAAGGUUAACGCAUCAUCAGUAUAAUUAAUGAAUCUUUGUUGAUUAUAAUAAAUGUAAUUAAUCCACUCUGCAUUUUUCUUUGGUGUGAUCCAAACGAAUAUUGACUCAAAACCUGUUUUUAUUUCAUCUCUUGCCUUGAAUUCAUUAGCAAUUCCUCUCGGUUGUCCAGUUGAGUCUAAAUAUACAUUGGGGUCUGGCUCGUAACCUCUUUUAAUUCUGUUGUCUUCCUUACUUGUGCUUGGUUGUGUUCCCCAUUGUGCCAUGUUAACUUCUUGAAGUAAUCGUACUCUUACACAUAUACCUUUCCAUCCUACUGGUAAAGAAGGCAGUAAUAUCUCACCUCCACAGAUCCAAAAGAAAUCUGCUAUUAUUAAUGAUUAGUCUUCAUAAAUUUCUAUUGAAGGUAAUGCAAUAGUUUGAUUUUCACAUUCUUCAGCCGUUAUUUUACUUCCGUUAGUUGUUCCGAGUGCUAACAGUUCUGGAGCUCUAGAAGGAAUUCCUGAUUUCCAAUAAUUUUUCUUAUCUAUGUACCAAAUAAUAGCACAUUUUCCUUUAAAUUACCAAAUAAUAGCACAUUUUCCUUUAAAUUUGCCCACAUCUUGUGUUCCUUUUGGUUUAUGGAAAUAUAUUCAUAUUCCUGUUUAUAAUCUAUGCUAUACAAUUUUGGAAUCUCUACUUUCCGUUUUUCAAUUUUUUAUAUUUCGGCUGACAUCUGAGUACUGACACCAAGAUCCCUAGAGUGGUCUAAAAAAAAUAAUCUGUUAAUUUAGGAUUUCCCAAAAAUCCUAGACAUUCAGCAAAACAAUAUGGUCUGGUAAAAUCUGUUAAAUGACAAAAGUUUCUCCCAAAUUUUGCACAUUUUCGGUAGUCAUAUGGAUUUGGUAUGGCUAUUACUUUGUUUAACAGAGAUUUGGAGCGCAGCAAGCAAUUUUCUUUUCCUGUUUCUCUAGCAGAAGUGCAUGAAGUGCCUGCCACACUGCUGGACCGAAUGCAUCAAAACAAUCCCAUCCAUAUUGUGAGAGUUGACUGCUCUGUUUAGAGUAGUUGUUUGAUGUAUUUCAUCCAUCUUUGUCCCUCCUACAAUUUUAGCCAGCAAAGCUUUAAUGUCUCUCACAGCCAAAAGUUUGUUCCUCAAACACCCUGAUCCACUUUCCAGCCCCCUCGUGAAUAUCUGGGAGGCGAUUGACCAGCCCCUCGAGGUCCUGUGAAGCCCAGGGGACUUACUGUCCCUGCCCACCCUUGAUUAAAAUUGGGAGUUGUGCAGCCAGUGGUCUGAAUGUCCCCUUUUCUCUGCCCUAUUCCCAUUUUCUGUUAUCAAAUAACUCAUCUGCUUUAUGUAUAUCCUCAUUACUGUCAAACAACUUACUUAUCCCUCUUUCUAAUUUAUUGACCUCUUGCAUAUUUUUCCUAAUUCUUUCAUUUUCUCUUCUAUUUCUUCUUCCAUAGCCUCUACUUCUGCUUUUAUUUCUAUUUAUUAUCUGUUCUCCUCAUUUUUUCUAAUCCUUCCUCAAACCUGGGUUUAUCUUCCUGGUUUGCUUUCAUUUUUUCUAAUGCUGUACGUGCCUGUCUGUAACAAAUCAAUCUGCAAAUUUUCUUCACUUUUCUUUCUAUCUUGCUUCUGUGUUUUCACAGCUGGUUCCUCUCUACCAUCCAUCUCUAUAUGCCCCUCCAUCUCCAGUUCUCCUGUUACUUCCACUGUUCCCUUGAGAAUUGGGAACUCUCCCUCUUAGGGAAAUAGGGGGAGACUCAGAAAAUACCUUUCCCUUUUCUCUUUGUCUCUUUCUCUUUGUCUCUUUUCUUUCUAACUUUUCUCUCCUUCCUUCUUAAACAUGGCUAUUACUUAUUUCUACCUUUUCCCUUUCUGUUUCUCUUUUUUCUCUUUUUCUUACUUAUGCUUUUAGCUUUAUAGUUUUUUUUUUUAUUUGAUCAGUUUCCAUCUCACACAAUGCUACAUCAAAUGUCCCUUCCUUUUGUCAUAUUUUUGUUCUCUUCUGCCAUUUGUUUGAGAUCUUGUUUAUUAGCUCUUUACACAGUGGAUAUUUUAAUUCUAUUAUUUCCUGCCAUAUCUGAGUGGCUUUCAUAUCUUUUCUUAUAAUAUUACAAUCCAAUAUAUACUUUUUAAUUCUGUAUAUAUAUAUUUAUUUAAUUAUCUAUAUUUAUCUAUAUAUUUAUUCAUCUAUCAACUUAUCUUAUCUAUUUUUAACCAGUUUUUCCAUUUUUUUUUCUUUAUUCCUUAGUCUUUAUUCAUGCCUCUUUGUAUUUACUUAUUAAUUCUGUCUGAUACAUUUACACUUUUUGUAUAAAUUGAGUAUGUAUAAAAUUUCUAAAGAUAAUUCUUUAUCUAUCUUUACUUCUCUUUAUUGUUUUGUCUGCACUUUUAUUAUUUCUAAUAUACUUAUUUAACUUAAUGCCUUGCUCUCACUUCUACUGCUCUGAUCUCACAAAAUUCCUCCUUCUCUUUCACACAGACAUCCAAAAUGCAAAAGCCUAUAAAAAAAUCUUGAUUCAAAUUUUAUUGAUUCUAUUUUCCUAAACACAUUCACUCCUUCUAAACCCUUUCAUCCUUUGUCCCUUCAUCCUGUAGGGCUCAAUCUCUCAUACUUUUGUCCCUUAAUUUGUCCUAGGUC